CUAUGGCCGUACAACCCUGGACGCGCCCGAUCUUGUCUGAUCUCGUGAAGCUAAGCAGGGUCAGGCCUGGUUAGUACUUGGAUGGGAGAAAUCUUUUUAAAUGCACAGAGUUGAUUAGU
ensembl:rRNA 5S_rRNA 5S ribosomal RNA